rnacentral:lncRNA from 1 species
AAUAAUUAACAUUUUAAUAUUUUUAUGACAAAAUUAAUAAGGUUUAAUUGCAGUUUGGUCCCCUUAUUUUAGCUGAAUGGCAAAAGUAGUUCACUCAUUCUAUUUCUCCCCAGUUUUGGUCCCCAAACAUAACUUUGGUCCAAAACUUGAUGUUUUUGCGUUUAUUUAAGUCACACCAUGCAUCACGACCUCGUGGUGCAACAAUUGUACCUGAAAUUUAUGAUUAUAAAUGGUUUGGUGUGACUUGAAAAAUAUGAAAUUUCAUUUUUGAACCAAAAUUCUGUUUGGGGACCAAAAUUAAGGAGAAAUAAAAUGAGGACUACUUUUGAAUUCAGUUAAAAUAGGGUGACCAAAAGUGUAAUUAAGUCAAUUAAUAAAGAUCAUUUAUAUAAAAAAUAAGUUUCAUGAAAGCAAUUAAAGAGCUGGUGAUGUUAUAGAGUCCAUAGUGUAGGUUAGAUUAGCUUAGCAUGAAAUAAAGCAAAAUGACAAAACAAAAAUUGCAUCUGGUAACUUUUGGCUUUUGUUUUCCCUUUCACUUUCUGGUCCUUCUUGUUGAUGGCCUCAUGACAUCUAUCUGUUUGUACGCAACAUAAGAAUCUAGGAAGGACAAACACUUACAAAGGAAUUCGAGAUUCCAAAAUCCACACUCACACCGUCAACCAGAUAUCCAACGAGAAAUUUAUUCAUCUUUAUAAUGAGACUAAAAUGUGAGUUCCCUUCAUUGCAAUCAUAUAAGACUAAGAUGAGUAACUUUCAUUAAAAAAAUUUAUAAAUAUAUGAUCAAUAUUUAAAUAUAAAGAUACAUGUAAUAGUCAUCGAAAACU